GAUGAACGCUGGCGGCGUGCCUAAUACAUGCAAGUCGAGCGAACGGACGAGAAGCUUGCUUCUCUGAUGUUAGCGGCGGACGGGUGAGUAACACGUGGAUAACCUACCUAUAAGGCUGGGAUAACUUCGGGAAACCGGAGCUAAUACCGGAUAAUAUUUUGAACCGCAUGGUUCAAAAGUGAAAGACGGUCUUGCUGUCACUUAUAGAUGGAUCCGCGCUGCAUUAGCUAGUUGGUAAGGUAACGGCUUACCAAGGCAACGAUGCAUAGCCGACCUGAGAGGGUGAUCGGCCACACUGGAACUGAGACACGGUCCAGACUCCUACGGGAGGCAGCAGUAGGGAAUCUUCCGCAAUGGGCGAAAGCCUGACGGAGCAACGCCGCGUGAGUGAUGAAGGUCUUCGGAUCGUAAAACUCUGUUAUUAGGGAAGAACAUAUGUGUAAGUAACUGUGCACAUCUUGACGGUACCUAAUCAGAAAGCCACGGCUAACUACGUGCCAGCAGCCGCGGUAAUACGUAGGUGGCAAGCGUUAUCCGGAAUUAUUGGGCGUAAAGCGCGCGUAGGCGGUUUUUUAAGUCUGAUGUGAAAGCCCACGGCUCAACCGUGGAGGGUCAUUGGAAACUGGAAAACUUGAGUGCAGAAGAGGAAAGUGGAAUUCCAUGUGUAGCGGUGAAAUGCGCAGAGAUAUGGAGGAACACCAGUGGCGAAGGCGACUUUCUGGUCUGUAACUGACGCUGAUGUGCGAAAGCGUGGGGAUCAAACAGGAUUAGAUACCCUGGUAGUCCACGCCGUAAACGAUGAGUGCUAAGUGUUAGGGGGUUUCCGCCCCUUAGUGCUGCAGCUAACGCAUUAAGCACUCCGCCUGGGGAGUACGACCGCAAGGUUGAAACUCAAAGGAAUUGACGGGGACCCGCACAAGCGGUAGAGCAUGUGGUUUAAUUCGAAGCAACGCGAAGAACCUUACCAAAUCUUGACAUCCUUUGACAACUCUAGAGAUAGAGCCUUCCCCUUCGGGGGACAAAGUGACAGGUGGUGCAUGGUUGUCGUCAGCUCGUGUCGUGAGAUGUUGGGUUAAGUCCCGCAACGAGCGCAACCCUUAAGCUUAGUUGCCAUCAUUAAGUUGGGCACUCUAAGUUGACUGCCGGUGACAAACCGGAGGAAGGUGGGGAUGACGUCAAAUCAUCAUGCCCCUUAUGAUUUGGGCUACACACGUGCUACAAUGGACAAUACAAAGGGCAGCGAAACCGCGAGGUCAAGCAAAUCCCAUAAAGUUGUUCUCAGUUCGGAUUGUAGUCUGCAACUCGACUACAUGAAGCUGGAAUCGCUAGUAAUCGUAGAUCAGCAUGCUACGGUGAAUACGUUCCCGGGUCU
rnacentral:rRNA from 1 species